GAGUUUGAUCCUGGCUCAGAUUGAACGCUGGCGGCAUGCCUUACACAUGCAAGUCGAACGGCAGCACGGGAGCUUGCUCCUGGUGGCGAGUGGCGAACGGGUGAGUAAUGCAUCGGAACGUAUCCUGGAGUGGGGGGAUAACGUAGCGAAAGUUACGCUAAUACCGCAUAUUCUGUGAGCAGGAAAGCGGGGGACCUUCGGGCCUCGCGCUCUUGGAGCGGCCGAUGUCGGAUUAGCUAGUUGGUGAGGUAAAGGCUCACCAAGGCGACGAUCCGUAGCAGGUCUGAGAGGAUGAUCUGCCACACUGGAACUGAGCCACGGUCCAGACUCCUACGGGAGGCAGCAGUGGGAUUUUGGACAAUGGGGGCAACCCUGAUCCAGCCAUGCCGCGUGAGUGAAGAAGGCCU
rnacentral:rRNA from 1 species